AAAGCCGGGAGGGAGAAAAGCUGAGAAAGUGGAAGUAAGGUAUAAAACUCAGACUUCCAAGAUUGGGGUGUUUUGCAUGCUACUGCAUAUUUGCAGGAGACUCCUAAUUGGUGGAGAGAUUGCUGAUGCAGUACAUAUCUGCAUGAGGAGUCGAAUCCUUUCCAGAGCUUGGUAGGGAGAAGAGAAAUAUGAUUUUGAGCUGGAUCUUCUUUGGGAUUGACUCCAGAAAGGAGAAAUAGAAAGAUUUUGGAAGCUUCAAAGAUAUAGGAAAAGCUGGGUCCUCAUCACAUCCUUCAUUUCCAGCUUGCCACCAUGGGGCCAUCAGAAAGAAAAUCUCUCAUUAGGACGCUGCAUUCAGCAGAGGGAAACAUAACCAAAUGUGAACUACUCAAGCAAAAUUUUGGCAGGAGCUGCUCUGUUGAUGACAUGUGGUCUCUCGACUAGAGCUGUGAAAGGCACGUCACCGAGUAGUUUGCCCACUGAAGCAUAUUAUCAAGGUGGCAGGUCACACAAGCAAAGCAACCUGUAGAGAGGCUUUCUUUUCUCAGGAUGGUCUGCCACAUGCUGAGAAAUAAGUGACCUUAAAUGCAAAGUAUGACAAUACUUAGGGGAAACUAGCAGUGUCGCUAUAGUUCCAUAUGAAGUUUUCUAAAGAUUUUAGAACUAGAAAGAGCCUGAGAGAUCAUUUAGCCUUACCUGCUCAUUUCCCAGGUGAGAAAGCUGAGGACUUGAGAAGAGGAGCUAAGCUGUCUUAGGAUACUAAGGAAGUUAGAAAGUAGCUAAAACAGGACCUGCUCUCUGGUCUUUAGUUGACUCCACAUGGUCCUCCUCCAAAGAGAUUACAAAGGGCAUCAGAAGUAUUCCUCAAUAUAUACUCUGAAUCUUUCCUGCCUUUUUCCAAUUUUCUCAUUUCCUUUAAACUUCUCAUGCCUGAAUCUCACCAUAAAAUGAAAGACUGAGACUACAUGAAUCCUUUCAGCUCUAAACCCUGUGAUCUUUAUUCUCCCAGAGAAAGAAGAAGGGACAUAGUCACAAUGAAGGUGAUGGGAGUUAAUGGAGUAAAAGGAAUUAUUCCCAUUCCUUCAUGUCUCAAACUGAGUAGAGCACAUGUGUGGCAGAGAAAUUUUUUGCAUAAGUGUUCCCAAAUCAUUCUCCAAAUAGGAUUUAAGAGACUUCAUAUCAUCUCUUACUCUCCUUUUUAUGCUUUUGUUUCCAAAGUCUCAAUUCCACAAGAAAUUAACACUGACAGGGUAAAGUUAUGUAAUGACUUCUAAAUAGUUGCAAGCUGGAAUUCCCUUAGCCCAUUUAACCUCUGACUACUCUUUGUUCCUUCCUACACUGCUCAAUGAGUCUCCUCUUGCUGUUUGAGAAUGAAAUUAAAAAAACAGCACAAAAUAACGAAAAAAAAUUCUUAGUUUGGAAUCCAGAAAUAUGGUGUCUCUUAAGUAUGAUCUUAAGGAAUCCCUCUUAUCCUUUCCUCAUUUGUCAAAAUGGUAUUAAUAUCAAACCACUUCCCUCAGAGGGUUAUUGUGAGGAUUAAAUGAGCAUACAGACACCAGUAUAAAGCGUAUAUGUAUGCAAGUACAUGAGUAUACCAGCACAUGGAUACAGUAGCACACACACUUAUAUAUACUCAUGUAUACAUAAGUAUGUGGAUGCACUAACUAUUAACUAAUCUACUAAUCCAAUUCUGUUUCUAUAUUGGUUACUUCCCAACAAGGAAAAGAAAUAUGGUACAGUGGACAAAGUAUUAAAUAUGGAGUCAGAAAGACCUGAAUUCAAGACAUUUGCUAGUUGUGUGACUGGGUAGAUCUCCAAUGGAGUACAGUACUAAUUGAUGUUUUUAUUACAGUAUAUUGUAUAAUAUUUAUAUAAUUAUAUUAUAUAUUAUAAUAGUAUAUAAGCCUGUACUAAUUAAUAUUUUCUCAUUUAGAUAAAGCCAUAUAUGAUAUGCACAUCAAAUCUAAACGUGACACACUAAAAGUGACACAGAGAUGGGAGAGAUAGUAGACUCUUGAUAAUAGAAUCAAGAUUCCCCAAAAGCUGAAGCACUGGACUAAAUCUAAUAAAGAUGAAGUCCAGUAGCAUUAAAUAUAAAGUCUUACAUUUGGAUUAAAAAAAUCAACCUCAUUGGUAUAAAAGAGAGAAAACAUAGCUAGAGAGUAAUUAUUCUAAUGUCCAAAGGGCUAUACCCUUUGAUCCAACAAAAUCACUACGAGGUUAGUAUUCCCAAGAGAUCAUUAAAAAAGGGAAAAGGACCAACAUGUAUAGAAAUAUUUAGUGCAACUCUUUCAGAGGUGGCAAAGAAUUGGAAAUUGAGGAAAUGCCCCUUUAUUGGAAUGGUGGAACAAGUUGUGGUAUAUGAAUGUAAUGGAAUACUGUCCAAUGAGAAAUGAUGAGCAGGUGGAUUUCAAAAAAACCUGAACUGAUGCUGAGUAAAGUGAGCAGAACCAGGAGAAUACUGUACAUUGUAACAUCAACAAUAAUGAUCAACUAUGAUAGACUUAGCUCUUCUCAGCAAUGCAGUGAUCCAAGACAAUUCCAAAGGAUUCAUGAUGGAAAAUGCUAUCCAUAUCCAGAG
ensembl:lncRNA